GACGAACGCUGGCGGUGUGCUUCACACAUGCAAGUCGAACGAGGUAGCAAUACCUAGUGGCGGACGGGUGAGUAACGCGUGGGAAUCUGCCUUUAGAUGGGGGAUAACGGGUCGAAAGACUCGCUAAUACCGCAUAUGACGAAAGUUGAAAGGAGUAAUCCGUCUAAAGAUGAGCCCGCGUCCGAUUAGCUAGUUGGUAGAGUAAAAGCCUACCAAGGCGACGAUCGGUAGCUGGUCUGAGAGGAUGAUCAGCCACAAUGGGAACUAGAGACACGGCCCAUACUCCUACGGAGGCAGCAGUGGGAAUUUACGCAAUGGCGAAAGCCUGACGUAGCGACACCGCGUGAGCGAAGAAGCCC
rnacentral:rRNA from 1 species